AGAGAGAGCAUGUGCUCCCUAAAAAUAGAACUUUUCAUCUAUGCGCUUCAGUUGAAAGCUACUGAGGACUGGACACAGUGGUUAGGGCAACUGUGGUCUUCAGGAUGACUAUACAUGGUGUCCAAUUAUUCCACCUUUCUCCCUGUUCUAUAUUUUUCUCUAUUAUUAAAUGGACACACUGAAGAAGCUUCUUUGAACAAAGUAUCUCAAGGUGGGCCAAGGCUUUGCUGACUUUUUAAGAUGAUGAACAAGAAUAAAAAGAGGGAGGAUGUGGACCCUCUCUGGAAGGAAACUAGAAACCUGGUCACAAGGGAUACAGAUAAAAAAGAGGUGCUCAGUGACUUCAUUGGCUCAGUCUUCAUUGGCAAGGGCUCUAGCCACACUGCCCAAGUUGCAGAAAUUAAUGGUAAAAACUUGGAGAAGGAAGAUCUGCAUGGUGUAAGUGAAAAUGAGGUUUGAACCAUCUAAAGAACCUGAAGGUGCACAAGUCCAUGAGACACGACAAGAUCCAUCCAUGGGUUCAGAGGGAACUGGCAGAUGAUGUCACCAAGCCACUAUCCAUCGUAUUUGAAAGGUCAUAGCAGUCUGGUGAAGUCCCACUGACUGGAAAAGGGGAAACAUAACCCCCAUUUUCAAGAAUGGAAAAAAAAAGAAGAUCCAGGGAACUACAUGCCAAUCUCACCUCUGUGUCUGGCAAGAUCAUGGAGCAGAUCCUCCUGAAGACCCUAUUAGUGCACAUGGAAAAUAAAGACAAGAUGAUUGGUGGUAACUAACAUGACUUCACCAAGAGCAUGUCAUGUCUGACAAACCUGGUGGCCUUUAAGAUGGAAUUACAGCAUUGGUGGAUAAAGGAAGAGCAACAGACUUCAUCUACCUGGACUUGUGCAAAGCAUUUGACUCUGUUCUGCAUGACAUCCUGGUUGUCAAGGUGGAAAAAAAAAAUGGAUUUGUUGGAUGAACCACUAGCUGGAUAAGGAAUUGGCUGGAUGGCUGCACUUAGAGGGUUGCAAUCAGCAGCUCAAUGUCCAAUUGGAGAUGGUGAUGAGUGGCAUUCCUCAGGGAUUGGUGUUGGGACCGGUGCUAUUUAACAUCUUUGUAAGCAACAAGGACAGUGGGAUUGAGUGCACCUUCAGCAAGUUUGCAGACAACACCAAGCUCAGUGGUGUUGUUGACGCACUAGAGGGAAAGAAUGCCAUCCAGAGGGACCUGAACAGUCUUGAGAAGUGGGUCCAUGCCAACCUCAUGAAGUUCAAGAAGGCCAAGUGCAAAGUUCUGCAUCUGGGUGGAGGCAAUCUCAAGCACAGAUACAGGCUGGGCAGGCAGCCCUGAGGAGAAAGAUGUGACAGUGUAGGUUGACAAAAGAUUCAGCACAAGCUGGCAAUGUGUGCUUGCAUACCAGAAGGCCAACUGUAUCCUGGGUUACAUCAAGAGAAGUGUGACCAGUAGGUCGAGGGAGGUGAUUCUGCCCCUCUACUCUGCUCUCAUAAGACCCCAUCUGGAGUUCUGUGUCCAGUUCUGAAGCUCACAUCAGAAGAAGUACAUGGAGUUGUGAGGGCAGGUCCAGAGGAGAGCUACAAAGACAGGACAGGCUGAGAGAGCCGAGGCUCUUGAGUUUGGAGAAGGCUCUGAGGAGACCUUCUAGUGGCCUUCCAGUACCUGAAGGGAGCCUACAGAUAAGCUGGGGAGGAACAUUUUAAAAGGCCAGGUAGAGAGAGGAUGAGAGGAAAUGGUUUUAAACUGGAAAAGGAUAGAUCUAGAGUACAUAUUUGGAAGAAACUCUUUACUGUGAGUGUGGUGAGACAGUGGAACAGGUUGCUCAGUGAGGUUGUGAAUGCCCCCUCCCUGGAAGCAUUCAAGGACAGGCUGGGUGAGGCUUCGAGCAACCUGGUCUUGAGGGAGGUGUACCUCCCCAUAGAGGUGGGGUUGGAACUAGAUGAUCUUAAAGGUCCAUUCCAACCCAAACCAUUCUAUGAUUCUAAAAGAUUAAUUUUAAAUAGAUAUUUUUGUAUUCAAUGUCUAUAGUGCUAUGGGAAGAUAUUGCGGGAAAAAGGUUGUUCGGCUGUAUCUGCCUACAGUGGCAGAUACAGCAGAACAAAUUAAGAUUACAAACAACAGACAACUGCGCUGAGAGUGGGGGAUGUGUUUGUUUUUCUUUCAGUACCAUGUUAUGUAAUUAGAUUGCUUAUUCCAAAGCUUAUGUUUAUUGAAAACACCCAAAGAGUUUCUGAGCAUUUUUACUGACAAGAUUUUAAGAAUUUGAUUCAUUAGUCUGUGCAUUUCUACUAGAUUUUACAAAACUGAAAACUGAUGGAUGUUCUAGUCAUAGGUAUUAUGGUAGGAAUGAAGGUCACAUAAAUCUUUACCUUGUUUUUCUGGAAAGUGUUGAAUAGUAGAUACUUGAUGCUAUUUUACUUUCAUAACAUGGGAAUUCUCAGGAUGAGAAUAAUCCAUCAACCUGAAAAAAGACAAGUGAGUAAACUACUUUCCCUGUGUCCUGGAGAGGCUGUAAUACUUGUGGAUAGUGGACAGUGCUAUGUAUGCUUUCCUUCUUAUCUGUGGCUAUGCAAUGUCAUGUGACCUUGACUCAUUUCUGUUUAACACAGUGCAUCUUAUGCCUUAGAGAGAACAAAUGAGUAGUAUUUAAAAGUCACAGUACCUACUUUACAAACAAAAUAACCCAAACUGUUACUUAAUCAAGAUAAGAAGCAAAGGUCUGUGUGUGGCAACAUCUUCCUCUUCUAUCUCAAAGUAAUAUGAACCAUAUAAUAAUCUCAUGUACACAGAUGAAAGAUGCAGGAAAGGUCUGGCCACACAGAAACCUGUGGAUUUUUUUUUUUUUAUUUGUUUGUUUGAAUUUGUUUUUUAAUCAUCCUCCAUGAUAUGAAUACUUGAAAUAUAUGAGUGCUUCUGCAGGUUGCCUGGAUAAAAUUAUUUGGAAAUGAGCUCAGCAUUUCUAGAACUGGAACAUCAAAUAAUAGCAACAACUGUUCAUUCCAUCACAGUUUUUAAGAGAGUUACUCUAAAAUGAGAACCCAGGAUAAUCUCUAAGUAUUUGAUACUGAGCUAACCUGAGGAGCUAUGAUACCUGAUAUGAAGCACAAGCCUUUCAAAAAUUUUUAAAAAGGGAGGGAAAUUAUGUUAAAAAUGACCAUAAAGACAAAAAGACAAAAACAACAGUUUUAUUUCUUUAUCUCUCUUAUACUUUUUAAAUUUUCACUGUAAAUUGCCUUUAAAGGAAAAAGAAAGGAAAUAUUUUAGUUCUAUGCCAUUUGCUGACCUUAUCCCUUAUGUUUGCUUCUGCCAGCAAGCAUGCACGUUGAAAACUGUCCAACAGAGCCGCUUGCCUAGUCUUUGCUGAGCGUGUCUUCUUUAGAAGUUACCUUGCACAAAGCCAAUAUGUCUGAUGUCCUUUAUGUAAAUGAAUCGAUGCAGAUAAAUCAUGAAAAUAAUAAACAAAAAGUUAACCGCUAAUACAGAUCAAGUAAGACAAUUUAAUCUACAUCUUUAUCUAUUAUUUGUCUAUCUGUGAAUAAUCCACUCACAGCAGAAUAGAAGAAUUAUUCUAAUAUUUCUUUUUAAAUUUUAUGUGUGUUUUUUUUCCUUUUUCUUUUUCUUGAGAAUCAGUCACUUUUUGUUUUUUCUAUGCUAUUAAACAGUAUCAAGGUAAUUUAAUGUACAUAUACAAUUAAAUGACAUAAAGAAAAUAAGGUUACUUUUCAUUUUACGUGAUACUUGGUUGGAAAUAGUUUGAUCAUUAAAUUGAACUUGCUAUGUGUGAGAAGCCAAACAUACAGACACAUCCAUUUUAUUUUCUGCUAUCCAACGGGCAAAUGUUAAACAUACUGCAUAUUAUAUAGGUUUCCUAGCAAAUAUA